AUCCAGCUGAUGAGUCCCAAACAGGACGAAACGAGCGGCUUGUAU
rnacentral:hammerhead_ribozyme from 1 species